GCGGGAGCGGCCGCGGAGCGGCGGGACCGGCCCGGGCGCGGGGUCGGGCCCCGGGGGCUGUCGGCGUGAGGGGAAACGGUGAUAUCCCAGCUCAUCCCCGCCCGUGAUGUGCGUGAAUACGUCUCACUUCAGUUGGCCCUCUGGGCCCGUCCCGUCCCUCCACGGUUGGCGGCUCCGAGCACCCCGGUGCGGCCGGUGCCACCGCGCCCUGAGGACGCCGCCACCUCCGCCCCCUCACAGAGCCGGGACUCUGCGGUGUUCCUGCACAGGAACUCCCCCAGGAGAAUGCGGGGAAACAUCCCUGCUGCCCUCCCUGGGAAUGCCGCCCUGGGGAUGUGCCCGGCAGAUGAGUUUUCAUUUGCUAGUGUUUUACAAGCUGCUAAUGUGAAACUUGCUGCUGCAAAAAGUGAGUGAAAAUCUGGAGACCACUCAUGAUAGUUUCACAUUUGGAGACAUAUUUUUAGCGCUGGAGGCCCCCAGACAGAAGACUUAUUAAAAGAGACAAUCUUCCAAUAAAAUGCUUUUCCAGUUGUGUAAGAACAUGAAAAUUUGUAAGAACUUUCACACAGAAUUGAGUCAGACAUAGAUGAAGUGUGAGCAAUCAUGAAAUUCUUUCAAAUGUUCAGUACUACUCAUUCGAUCUUGUGCAAGUUUGCUUAUUUUAUCAUUAGGCAAAUUUAACAGGGAUUAAUACAACCAGUAAAGGAUUAGACAGAUUAAGGCUAAACUAUUUAAAGACAAAGCAACGUUAAUUAAACUGACUUGAGUAAUUCAGAUUAAUCAGUGAUGCUUCAGAUGGAGAAAAAGACGACAGAAAUGUGGCCAGAGACCAGAAGAACAAUUUAAAUGACAGCUUUUGUCUUGAUUAUUGCCCUCUGCACACUUGAAAUGAAGGCAUGAUGAAGUACAGCUCACACGUGCUAAAUCGAACUUUAAAUCUCAGCACCUUUAUACAAUCGUGACAAGAAAGGGAGGGUUUCGAUGUCUUGAGUUGAAAAGGGAGUUACCUGUCAGCGUUUGUGAUCAUCCUCGACUGGAAUAGAAAAUGAAACCAUGAAUUCAAAGAUAAAAUAAGAUUUGUUUUAAACUGGAUGAAGUGUUCGUCUAGACCGAAGUGAUUUACCUUGAAGAUUUUCUUCUCUUUCUGAGCAAAUCAACGCCUCGCUCGUUCUUCCAUCCCUUCCCCCACAAAACAAUUUCACAUUUCCGCAGUAAAACGUGGUGCUCCCGGGAGCUGCUCAUGCGGCACUACGGGAGAGAAUAUUUAGGUCACUGGGUUUUAGCGCUGGCUCUAGCGGGAGUCGCGCUGCUCUCUCUGGAUUACGGGAUCCGUGUGUCCUGAGUCACAGACACGGGCGGCUCCAGCCUCACUCUUUUGGGCUGGAGCCCUUAACAUUUGAACUUCAUCUCUGGCUUUCGGUCGCCGCCAGCUGAGGGGUAAAGCCAACAUGUUUUGCUAAUUCACGGUGUGAUCCCACCGCGCCGGGAGCAGCGGCCAGUUAGAGAUGACGUUGUUUUCUUUGUUGCUCUGGGGAAGAGAAUUGCUUGGCUUCCUUUGCCCUCUACUGGUGGCCCGCACGGCUUCGAUGCCAAUUCGGUUGCUUUGUUUAAUAUACAUAUACAAAAUAAUUAUUUAAAAUAUACAACCCCUAACAGCUGAGCAAAACCACAGUUGAGGGCGUUUCCAGAGCUUUCCCAAGACAUUAGGAGGAGUGUUCUCUAUUAUUGCAAGAAAGAAAUCAUCUUAGUAAUUUAUGAAGAUUUUUUUUUCCCCAGUUUCAUCCCAGCUGUGUGAUAAGUACAGUGCGAACUGGGGUGGAAAAAUCAGAGCAGUGUCUGCUCUGCUGCUUUUGCAGAGAGCUUGGAGUACCUGCCUUGAUGGAAGAACACCAAGGACAUGGAUGUUCAUGGACAUGAUACCCAGAGGACAUCAGCUGGCUGCAGUUAGGAGUUUACAGGAAAAUACCCAGUGCGUUUUGGUUGCCUGUCUGUAAAAUUAAUGUACCUGGUGAUCGAAGACCCAGACGUAACAAAUGACAGUGCCCAUGCAGAGCUGGGUUUGUUCUGUCUUCUCCCAAAGUGCCUGAAUGCAGAGUUAAAACAAGAAGAGGAGGGGGUGGACUGGAACACUGUGAUGUCUUCUGAGACUCCUCUGCAGUCACACUGAAUUCCUGUCCUGUGAGCCCCCAGCUGCUCUGGGACAGCUUGGAAAGGACAAGGCUCCAAGUUCUUGAUUAAGAGGAGAAGGGUUUUUUUGGGUUUUUUUUCUGUUCUAAAGGGAAAGGAUGAUUUUCAGCUGUAUCACCAAA